CCACGUGUUUGUCCUGCGGGGCGAGGAGCAGAGAGUGAUGGGCAGACGGACAGAUGUGAGGACCACGCAGGGGUGUGGCAGAUGCCCGAGCCCCAGGACCCAGGACUGAAACAGGGGUGUCCCCAUGGCUCAUCUCUCUGCACUCGGAGCCCGGAGGAGAAUGGGUCGACACACGGAGCAAAUUCACACCAGGGAAUACUACGCAGCUAUGAAAAAGAACAAAUCCCCGAAACACACAACGUGGAUGAAUCUCAGACGCCGUGCUGAGUAGAAGCAGCAGGACACAAAAGAGGUCCAUUUAUGUGAUGUUGUCGAACAGGCAAAACUGUGGAACCUUCUUCCGUGAGCGGAUCUGUGACACUGAGCCGCAGAGUGGGUGUCGUUUCACCUCUCAGCACAUCAGAGCAGGUCCUCAAGGCCCAGUCCUCCAUCCUAACCAAGCUGCAACCUAACCCACCAUCCGUGCCCAAAGUUCCCCUGCUGUCCCCACAGCGUCCUCAAGUGGCUUUCUAC
rnacentral:lncRNA from 1 species